rnacentral:rRNA from 1 species
CUACGGGAUGCUGCAGUGAGGAAUAUUGCGCAAUGGGCGAAAGCCUGACGCAGCGACGCCGCGUGGAGGAUGAAGGUCUUCGGAUUGUAAACUUCUGUUAAGUGGGAAGAAAGGUUUGUCCUUAAUACGGACAAAAGAUGACGGUACCAUUAGAGAAAGCACCGGCUAACUUCGUGCCAGCAGCCGCGGUAAUACGAGGGGUGCAAGCGUUAUUCGGAAUCAUUGGGCGUAAAGGGUGCGUAGACGGCUUAUCAAGUCAACUGUUAAAUUCUCCGGCCUAACUGGAGGUCAGCGGUAGAAACUGAUAGGCUUGAGGUUGGAAGAGAGAAGUGGAAUUCUCGGAGUAGCGGUAAAAUGCGUAGAUCUCGAGAGGAACACCGAUGGCGAAGGCAGCUUCUUGGUCCAUACCUGACGUUGAGGCACGAAAGCGUGGGGAGCAAACAGGAUUAGAUACCCCGGUAGUC